AUGCAGAAUGAAGCAGGGCAAAGACUAAUAGAGUUUUGCCAAGAAAAUGCACUGGUCAUAGCAAACACUCUUUUCCAAAAACACAAGAGAAGACUCUACACAUGGACAUCACCAGAUGGUCAACACCGAAAUCAGAUUGAUUAUAUUCUUUGCAGCCAAAGAUGGAGAAGCUCUAUACAUUCAACAAAAACAAGACUAGGAGCUGACUGUGGCUCAGAUCAUGAACUCCUUAUUAGCAAAUUCAGACUUCAAUUGAAGAAAGUAGGGAAAACCGCUAGACCAUUCAGGUAUGACCUAAAUCAAAUCCCUUAUGAUUAUACAGUGGAAGUUAGAAAUACAUUUAAGGGCCUAGAUCUGAUAGAUAGAGUGCCUGAUGAACUAUGGAAUGAGGUUCGUGACACUGUACAGGAGUCAGGGAUCAAGAGCACCCCCAUGGAAAAGAAAUGCAAAAAAGCAAAAUGGCUGUCUGGGAAGGCCUUACAAAUAGCGGUGAAAAGAAUAGAGGCGAAAAUCAAAGGAGAAAAGGAAAGAUAUAAGCAUCUGAAUGCAGAGUUCCAGAGAAUAGCAAGAAGAGAUACGAAAGCCUUCUUCAGCAAUCAAUGCAAAGAAAUAGAGGAAAAGAACAGAAUGGGAAAGACUAGAGAUCUCUUCAAGAAAAUUAGAGAUACCAAGGGAACAUUUCAUGCAAAGAUGGGCUCGAUAAAGGACAGAAAUGGUAUGGACCUAACAGAAGCAGAAGAUAUUAAGAAGAGAUGGCAAGAAUACACAGAAGAACUGUACAAAAAAGAUCUUCAUGACCCAGAGAAUCAUGAUGGUGUGAUCACUCAUCUAGAGCCAGACAUCCUGGAAUGUGAAGUCAAGUGGGCCUUGGAAAGCAUUGCUACGAACAAAGCUAGUGGAGGUGAUGGAAUUCCAGUUGAGCUGUUUCAAAUCCUGAAAGAUGAUGCUGUGAAAGUGCUGCACUCAAUAUGCCAACAAAUUUGGAAAACUCAGCAGUGGCCACAAGACUGGAAAAGGUCAGUUUUCAUUCUAAUCUCAAAGAAAGGCAAUGCCAAAGAAUGCUCAAACUACCACACAAUUGCACUCAUCUCACACGCUAGUAAAGUAAUGCUCAAAAUUCUCCAAGCCAGGCUUCAGCAAUACGUGAACCGUGAACUUUCUGAUGUUCAAGCUGGUUUUAGAAAAGGCAGAGGAGCCAGAGAUCAAAUUGCCAACAUCUGCUGGAUCAUGGAAAAAGCAAGAGAGUUCCAGAAAAACAUCUAUUUCUGCUUUAUUGACUAUGCCAAAACCUUUGACUGUGUGGAUCACAAUAAACUGUGGAAAAUUCUUCAAGAGAUGGGAAUACCAGACCACCUGACCUGCCUCUUGAGAAAUCUGUAUGCAAGUCAGGAAGCAGCAGUUAGAACUGGACAUGGAACAACAGACUGGUUCCAAAAAGGAAAAGGAGUACAUCAAGGCUGUAUAUUGUCACCCUGCUUAUUUAACUUAUAUGCAGAGUACAUCAUGAGAAACGCUGGGCUGGAAGAAGCACAAGCUGGAAUCAAGAUUGCCAGGAGAAAUAUCAAUAACCUCAGAUAUGCAGAUGAUACCACCCUUAUGGCAGAAAGUGAAGAGGAACUAAAAAGCCUCUUGAUGAAAGUGAAAGAGGAGAGUGAAAAAGUUGGCCUAAAGCUCAACAUUCAGAAAACCAAGAUCAUGGCAUCUGGUCCCAUCACUUCAUGGCAAAUAGAUGUGGAAACAGUGGAAACAGUGUCAGACUUUAUUUUGGGGGGCUCCAAAAUCACUGCAGAUGGUGAUUGCAGCCAUGAAAUUAAAAGACGCUUACUCCUUGGAAGAAAAGUUAUGACCAACCUAGAUAGCAUAUUCAAAAGCAGAGGCAUUACUUUGCCAACUAAGGUCCAUCUAGUCAAGGCUAUGGUUUUUCCUGUGGUCAUGUAUGGAUGUGAGUGUGGGACUGUGAAGAAGGCUGAGCGCUGA
rnacentral:lncRNA from 1 species